UUGAACGCUGGCGGUAUGCUUAACACAUGCAAGUCGAACGGAAACGAUACUAGCUUGCUAGUAGGCGUCGAGUGGCGGACGGGUGAGUAACGCGUAGGAAUCUGCCUGAUAGUGGGGGAUAGCCCGAAGAAAUUCGGAUUAAUACCGCAUAAUCUAUUCGUAGUAAAGUGGGGGACUUUCGAGCCUCACGCUAUCAGAUGAGCCUGCGUAAGAUUAGCUUGUUGGUAGGGUAAAAGCCUACCAAGGCGACGAUCUUUAGCUGGUCUGAGAGGAUGAUCAGCCACAUCGGGACUGAGACACGGCCCGAACUCCUACGGGAGGCAGCAGUGGGGAAUAUUGGACAAUGGGGGCAACCCUGAUCCAGCAAUACCGCGUGUGUGAAGAAGGCCUGAGGGUUGUAAAGCACUUUCAAUUGUGAAGAAAAGUUAGCGGUUAAUAACCGUUAGCCUUGACGUUAACUUUAGAAGAAGCACCGGCUAACUCCGUGCCAGCAGCCGCGGUAAUACGGAGGGUGCAAGCGUUAAUCGGAAUUACUGGGCGUAAAGCGUGCGUAGGCGGUUUAUUAAGUCAGAUGUGAAAGCCCCGGGCUUAACCUGGGAACUGCAUUUGAAACUGGUCAACUAGAGUAUGGUAGAGGAAAGUGGAAUUUCUGGUGUAGCGGUGAAAUGCGUAGAUAUCAGAAAGGAACAUCAAUGGCGAAGGCAGCUUUCUGGACCAAUACUGACGCUGAGGUACGAAAGCGUGGGUAGCAAACAGGAUUAGAUACCCUGGUAGUCCACGCCGUAAACGAUGAUAACUAGCCGUUGGGGGGAUUUACCCUUUAGUGGCGAAGCUAACGCGUUAAGUUAUCCGCCUGGGGAGUACGGCCGCAAGGUUAAAACUCAAAGGAAUUGACGGGGACCCGCACAAGCGGUGGAGCAUGUGGUUUAAUUCGAUGCAACGCGAAGAACCUUACCUGGUCUUGACAUCCUGCGAACUUUCUAGAAAUAGAUUGGUGCCUUCGGGAACGCAGUGACAGGUGCUGCAUGGCUGUCGUCAGCUCGUGUCGUGAGAUGUUGGGUUAAGUCCCGUAACGAGCGCAACCCCUAUCCUUAUUUGCCAGCACAUCAUGGUGGGAACUAUAAGGAGACUGCCGGUGAUAAACCGGAGGAAGGCGGGGACGACGUCAAGUCAUCAUGGCCCUUACGACCAGGGCUACACACGUGCUACAAUGGGAAGGACAAAGAGCCGCGAAGCCGCGAGGUGUAGCUAAUCUCAUAAACCUUUUCGUAGUCCGGAUUGGAGUCUGCAACUCGACUCCAUGAAGUCGGAAUCGCUAGUAAUCGUAGAUCAGAAUGCUACGGUGAAUACGUUCCCGGGUCUUGUACACACCGC
rnacentral:rRNA from 1 species